AGUUUCGUAGUGUAGUUGGUUAUCACAUCAGUCCAACAGACUGAAGGCCUCCAGUUCGAAUCUGGACGAAAUCA